GAAGGCCAUCAUUUGAAAUGCAUAGUUCAGAUGAUUUAUCCGUGAUUGUUAAUUUUUAAUAGUCUUUCGCUCCUAUCUGGUGACCUCC
rnacentral:snoRNA from 2 species